rnacentral:rRNA from 1 species
UACGGAGGAUCCAAGCGUUAUCCGGAUUCACUGGGUUUAAAGGGUGCGUAGGUGGAAUGAGCAAGUCAGUGGUGAAAACCUGCAGCUUAACUGUAGAACUGCCAUUGAUACUGUUAUUCUUGAGUACAUUUGAUGUGAGUGGAAUGUGUCGUGUAGCGGUGAAAUGCUUAGAUAUGACACAGAACACCAAUUGCGAAGGCAGCUCACAAAACUGUAACUGACACUGAGGCACGAAAGCGUGGGGAUCAAACAGG